AGAGUUUGAUCAUGGCUCAGAACGAACGCUGGCGGCGCGUCUUAAACAUGCAAGUCGAACGAUCUGUAGCAAUACAGGGAGUGGCGGACGGGUGAGGAACACGUAGGAAUCUACCUUGAAGAGCGGGACAACUUUGGGAAACCGGGGCUAAUACCGCAUAGUACAGAGAUGUUAAAGGGCUAGCAAUAGUCGCUUCGAGAUGAGCCUGCGGUCUAUCAGCUUGUUGGUGAGGUAAUGGCUCACCAAGGCUACGACGGAUAGCCGGUCUGAGAGGAUGAUCGGCCACACUGGCACUGAGACACGGGCCAGACUCCUACGGGAGGCAGCAGUUAAGAAUCUUGCGCAAUGGGGGAAACCCUGACGCAGCGACGCCGCGUGAAGGAUGAAGGCUUUCGGGUUGUAAACUUCGGUAGACUGGGAAGAAGAAAUACGUUCGUUGAGGGCGUAUAGUGACGGUACCAGUCUGAAGCCCCGGCUAAUUACGUG
rnacentral:rRNA from 1 species